UACCUACGGGAGGCAGCAGUAGGGAAUUUUCGUCAAUGGGCGCAAGCCUGAACGAGCGAUGCCGCGUGAAGGAAGAAGGGUUUCGGCUCGUAAACUUCUAUCAACAGGGACGAAAGAAAUGACGGUACCUGAAUAAGAAGCCCCGGCUAACUACGUGCCAGCAGCCGCGGUAAUACGUAGGGGGCAAGCGUUAUCCGGAAUUACUGGGUGUAAAGGGUGAGUAGGCGGCAUGGUAAGCCAGAUGUGAAAGCCUUGGGCUUAACCCGAGGAUUGCAUUUGGAACUAUCAAGCUAGAGGACAGGAGG
rnacentral:rRNA from 1 species